CCUCCAUUCUUGGCAUGCACGCUUUCUCCCUGUACCCGUGUAUGUAUGUUAUGGAGGGAUAACAAGGCCAGUGCUAUGUCUUCGGUGCCAGAAUGUUCCCUGUCUUCUGGUUCUAUCCUCAAUCGCUGGUACAUUA
rnacentral:snoRNA from 1 species